ACGGGUGAGUAACGCGUGGGAAUCUACCUUUUGCUACGGAAUAACUCAGGGAAACUUGUGCUAAUACCGUAUGUGCCCUUCGGGGGAAAGAUUUAUCGGCAAAGGAUGAGCCCGCGUUGGAUUAGCUAGUUGGUGGGGUAAAGGCCUACCAAGGCGACGAUCCAUAGCUGGUCUGAGAGGAUGAUCAGCCACACUGGGACUGAGACACGGCCCAGACUCCUACGGGAGGCAGCAGUGGGGAAUAUUGGACAAUGGGCGCAAGCCUGAUCCAGCCAUGCCGCGUGAGUGAUGACGGUCUUAGGAUUGUAAAGCUCUUUCACCGGUGAAGAUAAUGACGGUAACCGGAGAAGAAGCCCCGGCUAACUUCGUGCCAGCAGCCGCGGUAAUACGAAGGGGGCUAGCGUUGUUCGGAUUUACUGGGCGUAAAGCGCACGUAGGCGGACUUUUAAGUCAGGGGUGAAAUCCCAGAGCUCAACUCUGGAACUGCCUUUGAUACUGGAAGUCUUGAGUAUGGUAGAGGUGAGUGGAAUUCCGAGUGUAGAGGUGAAAUUCGUAGA
rnacentral:rRNA from 2 species